AUGGGCACCUCGGACCGCGGG
rnacentral:misc_RNA from 1 species